GGUUAAGCGACUAAGCGUACACGGUGGAUGCCCUGGCAGUCAGAGGCGAUGAAGGACGUGCUAAUCUGCGAUAAGCGUCGGUAAGGUGAUAUGAACCGUUAUAACCGGCGAUUUCCGAAUGGGGAAACCCAGUGUGUUCCGACACACUAUCAUUAACUGAAUCCAUAGGUUAAUGAGGCGAACCGGGGGAACUGAAACAUCUAAGUACCCCGAGGAAAAGAAAUCAACCGAGAUUCCCCCAGUAGCGGCGAGCGAACGGGGAGGAGCCCAGAGCCUGAAUCAGUGUGUGUGUUAGUGGAAGCGUCUGGAAAGGCGUGCGAUACAGGGUGACAGCCCCGUACACAAAAAUGCACAUGCUGUGAGCUCGAAGAGUAGGGCGGGACACGUGGUAUCCUGUCUGAAUAUGGGGGGACCAUCCUCCAAGGCUAAAUACUCCUGACUGACCGAUAGUGAACCAGUACCGUGAGGGAAAGGCGAAAAGAACCCCGGCGAGGGGAGUGAAAAAGAACCUGAAACCGUGUACGUACAAGCAGUGGGAGCCUCUUUAUGGGGUGACUGCGUACCUUUUGUAUAAUGGGUCAGCGACUUAUAUUCUGUAGCAAGGUUAACCGAAUAGGGGAGCCGGAGGGAAACCGAGUCUUAACUGGGCGUUAAGUUGCAGGGUAUAGACCCGAAACCCGGUGAUCUAGCCAUGGGCAGGUUGAAGGUUGGGUAACACUAACUGGAGGACCGAACCGACUAAUGUUGAAAAAUUAGCGGAUGACUUGUGGCUGGGGGUGAAAGGCCAAUCAAACCGGGAGAUAGCUGGUUCUCCCCGAAAGCUAUUUAGGUAGCGCCUCGUGAAUUCAUCUCCGGGGGUAGAGCACUGUUUCGGCAAGGGGGUCAUCCCGACUUACCAACCCGAUGCAAACUGCGAAUACCGGAGAAUGUUAUCACGGGAGACACACGGCGGGUGCUAACGUCCGUCGUGAAGAGGGAAACAACCCAGACCGCCAGCUAAGGUCCCAAAGUCAUGGUUAAGUGGGAAACGAUGUGGGAAGGCCCAGACAGCCAGGAUGUUGGCUUAGAAGCAGCCAUCAUUUAAAGAAAGCGUAAUAGCUCACUGGUCGAGUCGGCCUGCGCGGAAGAUGUAACGGGGCUAAACCAUGCACCGAAGCUGCGGCAGCGACACUAUGUGUUGUUGGGUAGGGGAGCGUUCUGUAAGCCUGUGAAGGUGUGCUGUGAGGCAUGCUGGAGGUAUCAGAAGUGCGAAUGCUGACAUAAGUAACGAUAAAGCGGGUGAAAAGCCCGCUCGCCGGAAGACCAAGGGUUCCUGUCCAACGUUAAUCGGGGCAGGGUGAGUCGACCCCUAAGGCGAGGCCGAAAGGCGUAGUCGAUGGGAAACAGGUUAAUAUUCCUGUACUUGGUGUUACUGCGAAGGGGGGACGGAGAAGGCUAUGUUGGCCGGGCGACGGUUGUCCCGGUUUAAGCGUGUAGGCUGGUUUUCCAGGCAAAUCCGGAGAAUCAAGGCUGAGGCGUGAUGACGAGGCACUACGGUGCUGAAGCAACAAAUGCCCUGCUUCCAGGAAAAGCCUCUAAGCAUCAGGUAACAUCAAAUCGUACCCCAAACCGACACAGGUGGUCAGGUAGAGAAUACCAAGGCGCUUGAGAGAACUCGGGUGAAGGAACUAGGCAAAAUGGUGCCGUAACUUCGGGAGAAGGCACGCUGAUAUGUAGGUGAAGCGACUUGCUCGUGGAGCUGAAAUCAGUCGAAGAUACCAGCUGGCUGCAACUGUUUAUUAAAAACACAGCACUGUGCAAACACGAAAGUGGACGUAUACGGUGUGACGCCUGCCCGGUGCCGGAAGGUUAAUUGAUGGGGUCAGCGCAAGCGAAGCUCUUGAUCGAAGCCCCGGUAAACGGCGGCCGUAACUAUAACGGUCCUAAGGUAGCGAAAUUCCUUGUCGGGUAAGUUCCGACCUGCACGAAUGGCGUAAUGAUGGCCAGGCUGUCUCCACCCGAGACUCAGUGAAAUUGAACUCGCUGUGAAGAUGCAGUGUACCCGCGGCAAGACGGAAAGACCCCGUGAACCUUUACUAUAGCUUGACACUGAACACUGGUCCUUGAUGUGUAGGAUAGGUGGGAGGCUUUGAAGUGUGGACGCCAGUCUGCAUGGAGCCGUCCUUGAAAUACCACCCUUUAAUGGCUGGUGUUCUAACGUUGGCCCCUUAUCGGGGUUGCGGACAGUGUCUGGUGGGUAGUUUGACUGGGGCGGUCUCCUCCUAAAGAGUAACGGAGGAGCACGAAGGUUGGCUAAUCCUGGUCGGACAUCAGGAGGUUAGUGCAAUGGCAUAAGCCAGCUUGACUGCGAGCGUGACGGCGCGAGCAGGUGCGAAAGCAGGUCAUAGUGAUCCGGUGGUUCUGAAUGGAAGGGCCAUCGCUCAACGGAUAAAAGGUACUCCGGGGAUAACAGGCUGAUACCGCCCAAGAGUUCAUAUCGACGGCGGUGUUUGGCACCUCGAUGUCGGCUCAUCACAUCCUGGGGCUGAAGUAGGUCCCAAGGGUAUGGCUGUUCGCCAUUUAAAGUGGUACGCGAGCUGGGUUUAGAACGUCGUGAGACAGUUCGGUCCCUAUCUGCCGUGGGCGCUGGAGAACUGAGGGGGGCUGCUCCUAGUACGAGAGGACCGGAGUGGACGCAUCACUGGUGUUCGGGUUGUCAUGCCAAUGGCACUGCCCGGUAGCUAAAUACGGAAGAGAUAAGUGCUGAAAGCAUCUAAGCACGAAACUUGCCCCGAGAUGAGUUCUCCCUGAGACUUAGAGUCUCCUGAAGGAACGUUGAAGACGACGACGUUGAUAGGCCGGGUGUGUAAGCGCAGCGAUGCGUUGAGCUAACCGGUACUAAUGAACCGUGAGGCUUAACCUU
rnacentral:rRNA from 1 species